rnacentral:rRNA from 1 species
UACAGAGGUGGCAAGCGUUGUUCGGAAUUAUUGGGCAUAAAGCGCAUGUAGGUGGUUUGAUAAGUCUGAUGUGAAAUCCCCGGACUCAAUUCGGGAAGUGCAUUGGAUACUGUCAGGCUAGAGUAUGGGAGAGGUGAGCGGAAUUCCAGGUGUAGAGGUGAAAUUCGUAGAUAUCUGGAGGAACAACAGAGGCGAAGGCGGCUCACUGGACCAUUACUGACACUGAGAUGCGAAAGCGUGGGGAGCAAACAGG